AUGGGAUUCCCUAGCCUCACAGUUUACUCAUGGAAUAUGUGGAAGGAAGACAAGACUGAGGAGCUGCCUGACUCAUCCAUCAUAGAUACUUCACCCGAUGAAGUUUUGCUUUGCGUCCAUGUAGUGCUAUUGUGCGUCCAAGAGAACCCUGACGAUAGGCCGCUCAUGUCAUCUGUGGUGUUUGUCCUAGAGAACGGAAGCACCACACUUACAGCCCCCAAUCGCCCUGCCUGCUUUGCGCGACGAAGUGCUGAAAUGGAUCAAAUCAGAAAUGAUAUUCAAACUUCUGUGAACAGUUUUACUCUUACUGAGAUAGAGGGCAGAUGA
rnacentral:rRNA from 1 species